rnacentral:rRNA from 1 species
UACGGAGGAGGCAAGCGUUAUCCGGAAUUAUUGGGCGUAAAGAGCUCGUAGGCGGUUUGUCGCGUCUGCCGUGAAAGUCCGGGGCUCAACUCCGGAUCUGCGGUGGGUACGGGCAGACUAGAGUGAUGUAGGGGAGACUGGAAUUCCUGGUGUAGCGGUGAAAUGCGCAGAUAUCAGGAGGAACACCGGUGGCGAAGGCGGUUCUCUGGGUCGGCCCUGACGCUGAGGCACGAAAGCGUGGGGAGCGAACGGG